UGCGGAGGGUGCAAGCGUUAUCCGGAUUCACUGGGUUUAAAGGGUGCGUAGGUGGAUUGGUAAGUCAGUGGUGAAAUCUCCGAGCUUAACUCGGAAACUGCCAUUGAUACUAUUAGUCGUGAAUACCGUGGAGGUCAGUAGAAUAUGUCAUGUAGCGGUGAAAUGCUUAGAUAUGACAUAGAAUACCAAUUGCGAAGGCAGCUGGCUACACGAGCAUUGACACUCAGGCACGAAAGCGUGGGGAUCAAACAGG
rnacentral:rRNA from 1 species